AAAUUUGUCCUUUUCCACAAAUAAAAAAAGCUAAGAUUCUGUCUGCAUCACACUUGAGCAAUAAAUUUUUCAUUGCCUUAAAAUUUAAAAAAAAAAUUUUUUUCAUUGCCUUAAGGAAAUCGAGUAGGCAGACUUUUUUUUUUUUUAGUAUAUGAUGACUGUAUUAGUCCCAACUACUAUUUAAUCUUUACAACUAAAAAGGUAAUAGAUGGAGAAUUUUGAUUGUCACUACAAAAUAAGCAACCAGUUUUCUUGAUUGAUUUAAAGCAGACUUAAUCAUGACCUUGUGUCAUCUAUCCUUUUUAAAAUCUUGGCUGUUCUUGUAGGUGAAAGGGUCAGGUUAAUGUAAAGCUUUUGGAGAUUGUGCUCUUAAGUUUUCUAAAAUGAUUAAGCACACACAUAGUCUUCUCCCUCUUGGAGGUGGAAGUGGAGGAGGGUGAGGGAGAGUUACCUUUUAACUGUUGUUCUUUGUUCCUUCUAAGCUAGUUGCUGUGUAUAUCUUUAUUUUGUGAGUAAAAAAUAAAUGUUGAGAAAAAUACAACUUCUAAAAAUCUAAAGAAUUUAUUCUUAAAGCUGCAUCUAAGUUGUAUAUAGCUUAUUUUUUUAAAACAGUUUGUUGCACCUGGAUUCUAGCCAUAGUGAAACACUUGUCACAGGCAGUGUGUGAAGGAAGCAGCUUGGUUGUGAACUUGAAGCACUCCGUCAUCUGCCUGCUGGCGCUGCUUCUGGGUUUCCCUCCAGAAAACCACAAAGGCCAGGAGUGGUGCAAAAAAAAGAGCACCUUCAGCAGGUGAUCUGAAGAUUUUACAGCUAGAAACUGGAGCUAGAAAAUCCGGAGAAUUCAGGCUGUGUUGUUUUAAACAUGGCAGUAUCUUGAGCUACAUUUAAAAGCUGAUUACAGUUAACUGAAUUCCAGGAUUGUAAUUUAUUUCAGAAGGUGUUUCUCCAGUAUCCAGUGUCUUCAACAAACGAAAAAGGCCAGCAGCUUCUCGUAUCCUACUGAAUUCAAUACAGAAUGCCUGCACUUCUAUAAACAAGUCCUGCACAUUAAUAAUUUUGUUACGGAUCAAGGACUGGAGAAAGACACACACAAGACGCACCAAACGAUUCUGGGGGGAAAAAAAAAAUUAGUGUACCCGUUUUCUUGGCAGAGUAAAAUGACCAAAGCUGGAAAAGCAGAACAAAGAUCCAGAGAGCCAAGACUCCUUGGAUCCAAAACACUUCCUACUGCUGGCUCCUGUUGACAGGAUCAUUUAUUGUUUAUCAUGUGGAAGAUUAAAGACAAAAUGCUUACAAUAAAUAUA